GGGCAAGGAGCCGGGAAGAGCAGAAAGAAAAGGGAAGGAAGCCCGGCGCGGCGGGGAGGAACCUCUGGGCCCUGACCCCAGGCUCCUGUGCUGCUCGUCGCCUCAGUGCAGGAUCAUGAUGUACUGAUGAAACUCAAUGAUAAUUGGAGGAAAGUUCAGAAGCUUUUCCCUUUUCAGCCUAAUGAUCUGAUUUCUCCAGCGACGUCGAGAAAGAUAAAGAAGCAAAAACAAAAUGCUAAAGAUUUUAUGAUCUCUGCAAGGCAGGCUCUCCCCUCAGUUCACACAUUCACAACUCUCAGUGACAGUGAUGAGAGGUCUGCCAUGGAUCAGAGGUAUCUCCAACACAAACAGAAACGGAGGAUUUCUGCAGAACCAUUAUGAAGGUAUACAAGCUCUCCUGUCCUUUCUAGAGAUGUAUACAGCGGCACUGGGUUUGAUGAUAAGGUUGCUCUGGACAGCCUCUCUGCGUGUCAAAACCUCAGCCUCAACCCUCCAGGCGGGUGUCGUUCCCCUCCUUAGUCUGUCUGCAGUCCCUGACUUUUUCAUUUCAGGUUCCUGUCACCUGCUUUUCACUCUUCUGCCUCAGAGGACAUCACACAGCUGUACUUACUGAGGAUACCAGCUCUCUCAAGAAACAGUCUUUGCAGGCUUUCUAAAUCCAUGGGAGAUUGUAGUGGCUUGGAUAAACCGUUACAGAUCUGUUUUUCCUGUACUCCCUUCCUUCACACCCCGUUUUCAAAUAAGCACCACUUAGUUUGAGGGCUUUCGGCUCUCUUGUUCUAGUUUAAUGGCUGCGCGUUAGCACCCCGUCGUAUUAGCUGGAGGUAUCAGUCUGAAUCUCACUCUCUCAGAAAGGCAGGGCACAUUUUUUAUAACUCCUUCUAGACUGCAUGUCUGCUUUAUAUCAGAUAUGAUUUAAUAGACUUUUUAAAGCCAGCCUGUCAUCUGUCUUCCCUGAAUGUGAGAAGCAGCACAUUUACAAGUUACACACUUUAGAAAGCCUUUCAUUGUCCCUCAAAGCUCCUACCGACGCGUCUAUUCCAGCAGUCCUCUUUUUAUGGAAACCUUUAAGCCUCCCUCCUUUGUACGGACAGCUUGAAGUUCGUCUGCUGUUUUCUACCUUGCCUCUUAUCGGGUCUAAGAAUGGUGUAUUACACAGGCACCUUCCGCACGGGGGGAUUUCAGAAAUAUAUUGGCCCGCUCCAGAACCCAGCCUUUAUUAAUCAGGGCAGAGCGUGCCUGGUGCCGUUCCAGACAGGCUCCUUCCCUCUGCCGUCCGUCCCCGGCCGCAGCGCUCGCAGAGCUCUUCGGAUGCUGCAGUUUUUCCUUUUGUUAUUCCAUAUCCUACAGCAGCGGUGGAGUCCAUCAGCCUCAAUCGGUGCUGACACUACGAAACACAAAAGCACCACAUCAAAAUAGGAAUAUUUGAGGGCAAGGUUGCUUUAUGAAUACACAAAUAAUAAACUCCAGCUGUGUCCUGCCAGUGGCUACAUCAGCCAGACAAUCUGUUUUAUUGGUUUGUUUGUUAGUUUGGGGCUUUUUUGUGUCUGUGUGUAUCCGAAUUCAGCCUUACAUGGCUGAACUGAAGAGUUUGCCUGCAGAAAGAACUCUGUCUUUGAGACGGAAGAGCUCAGAAGAUCUAAGAUGUGAGAACUAUUGAGAGAAGCACUUUCAAUAAUUAAGUGAAUAGCAAAUACCUCUUUCUUAGGAACAAACUUCAAAAACAAGCCUCUACAGACCUCCCUUGAGGAAAACAGAGAGUAAGCAUAAGAUAAAAUGGUCUGCUUCUUCUGGACAUACACUGAUUAGGACACCCAUCUGCCUCUUCAUCCGAGCAAUUUCUCUAGGAUAUGACCAGAUAGUGGUUUGCAAACUGCGGUUCAAGGGCUAUGAUUAGUGAGUGGAAGACUGCUUACAGAACUACAUUCCCUUUCUAGCACUGUGCAUGUGCUCUUCUGAGAAUCCACAGUCUAAAAGGCAGAAGAGCCAUUGCUGUCCUUGAUGACUGUAGCUUUGAGGCGUAAUGUAUAGAAUAGCCACUGAAAUAAUCAGGAUGAGGAUAACAGAACUUUUUACAUAGGGAAAAAAUGUUUGGAUUCAGGACGGAAUAUGCACAUAUCACAGUACAAAUAAAAAAGGAGAAUGAAUAGAACAGAGAGGAGAAAGCUCAAUAAACUCUUAAUAGGAAAAUAACAAGAUGAAUAAGAUAACUUUUGAAUGCAGCUUCAUGAAAUUUUGUUUUGUCUGGGCUUCUCUAAAGAUUUUUACUUAAAUAAGCAGAAGUCGUCAAACACCUGAAAUACACAUUUUGCUCUGCUCAAAAGAAAGAGGGUGCUCCAGGGAGGUGAUUACACCUCCUUAAAGCUCAGUGAUUUAUAUUUCCCAAAGGCCCAGUCUCUAGCUAUCCUUUACCAGAUCAGAGGUUUUCCCUGUGCUGGCGGUUGCUGGGAUGAGCUGUCACAGACUUUACUUACAAUAACUCAAUGCCUGCUGGAAAAAAUCAGGGGAGACAUGCAAAAAUUAUCUAUCCAUCCCUAUUUUGUCUCACUAAGCAACCUAUUGCUCUUCUGUAUCAAGAGCUGUUUUCAUGCAUGUUUACAGGGUAUGGAAAGACAAGACUUUCAUUAAGUGGGUUGCCAUAUGGAAAUUUUCUAAAAAAUGUCAACAUCUUUAAAAUUCUUUAUCUUGGUGCAUAUUUUAAACAUACUUCAGAGAGACAUCUGAUGAUUGUAAAUGAUUUCUAAUAGUCUUGCUUAGGUAAAACAUGUGAAAACAUGUUUUUGGUAUGAUUUCCAGUACUUUCAGGUUGACCUAUUUCUCAGUUCCUUCCUACUGCAAGAACUUUUUCCAUAUUCCUUUAUGAAACUGAAACUUAAGCUUUUGUUUUAUUUUCUUUUCUUUAUGAAUUAUGUAACAUUUUCUUCUGCAAUAUAUACUUAACAAUUGUUUGUUUGGGUUUUGAGUUUUGUUUCUCCAGUUGGAAAAAUUUGUUAUAUAAGAAUGGGAUGGCUUCACUCUGUUUUUUUUU